CACCGCCGGGGCCCGGGAGCGCGACAAAGAGCCGGCGCGCUGGGCUGUAGCUUGCGCGGAGCGGCUGCCGCUCUCGGCGAGGGGAGCAAGGCCCCGCGGCCUACGGCGCCGAGUCUGCCCCUGCAUUGCGGGGCCGGAGCCGCCCGCGGCCGCGGCGUGCAGAUAUUUCCCGUUUACAUGAGUAAAGUAGAAAUCGGGGGACAAGGACAGAUGUGAUCACCUCUUCGUUAUAGGUUUGCAGGAUACCCUCCACCUUCAUAGAAGAUAUCCUAGGGCUUCUUAAGACUAGAAAAAUCCACACAUUUGUAAGGUGCUAGUAAAAAAAGAGGGAUUUAUUUUAGGUACAAAGUGUUUUGAAUCUUUACCUAGUUUUUAUUCUAAAAUUCUUAGCUUUUCUUUGCCCACUGGGUUGCUUUCAUGGGUGCUAAUCUGUUCAUCUUUUUAAAAACCGUUUGUGGCUUCUAGCUGUUUCCAGUUUAAGAAAGUUGGCAAUCUCUCCUUUUUAACAAGGCGAGAACACCCUUGGGCAUCUAGAGGGAGAAGGCUAGAGUAGAUCUUGUGAGCAAAAAACGGUUGAGCUUAUUUUCCAAUAGGUUUGGCAGGGGUACACCUGUUAAUCCCAAAUCUUCAAAUGUGGAGAGUUUCCUAAGCAUCUGAGUACAUGUGUGCUUCUGAUUUUAGUAAAAUUUAAUUAGCACUACAGCCCAGUUACUGUUUAAUUAAUUGCACAGGAGUCCUGGGCUCUAGUUCUGGCUUGGGCCCUGCUAGUGACCUAAGCAAACCACGUAACUUCUGUGGAUUCCUUACUGGCACUAGUAAAUUAAGUGGGCUUGAGUAGGUGGGUAAAUUAAGCUUGCUCUUAGAAAGCAAACUAGCAUAUCCUUGGCUGCUUCCUACAAAAUCAACAUUUCUUUGAAGUAAAAAAAUUUUUUAAAUUAUAUAUUCCUCCAUAAUAUAGCCUUCCGAAAUUUAGAAUAAAGAUUGCAUUUUAAAUUUGUUACCACCCUGUAACGUUGGUUCCUCCAGAAAAUGCAUUCUGUUUAUCCUGGAGUUUUAUGUAUUCCCUGACCCACUGCCUCAUACCCUUGGGGUUUCUUGUGCCUCAAUUUGAGAAGCAUGGGACCCAGAGGACUUGUCUCUUAUGGCUCUGGUGUGGUGUAAUACUUGAAAUGAACUAGAGUUUAUUCUCUAGUUUUGGGAAAUUAUAAAUCCAAACUAGGGAAAAAUAUGAUUGGCCAAUUUGUAUGAUUUAACUUCUCUCCCUGAAAAUUAGAGAUUGCAAUUCUGUUGUAUGUAAAAGCUGUUUCAUCAGAAACUACAUGCAAUUUACGAAAUGGAUUGCAACGUUAGAACAACCCUUUGCAGAUGUCAUCUUUGUUGCUCUCUUCUUUCUUUGCUGCAAUUCUGCUUUUUUCUUUCCUGGCUGCUAAUUGGAUUAAAGACUAUUUUGCCAACCAUGGCAUCUGGAGAUGACAGUCCAAUCUUUGAAGAUGACGAAAGCCUUUCUUAUAGCCUGGAAAAAAUGACAGAUCUCGUAGCCGUUUGGGAUGUUGCUUUAAGUGAUGGAGUCCAUAAGAUUGAAUUUGAACAUGGGACCACGUCAGGCAAACGAGUGGUAUACGUAGAUGGGAAGGAAGAGAUAAGGAAAGAAUGGAUGUUCAAAUUAGUGGGCAAAGAAACCUUCUGCGUUGGAGCUGCAAAGACAAAAGCAACCAUAAAUAUAGAUGCUGUCAGUGGUUUUGCUUAUGAAUAUACUCUGGAAAUUAAUGGGAAAAGUCUCAAGAAGUAUAUGGAGAACAGAUCAAAGACCACCAAUACUUGGGUAUUGCAUUUGGAUGGGGAGGACUUUAGAGUUGUGUUGGAAAAAGACACUAUGGAUGUAUGGUGCAAUGGUGAAAAAAUGGAGACAGCAGUAUAGGAAGGUGAGGAGAGGUGCUCCGAGGGAAGGUCUGGGAUGGAUUUAUUCAGCAGUCUGCAGUCUUGUAGCUGUCUGCUCCUGAGGACAUGCCAAAGCCUGAAAUCAGAAGUUACAAAGAUGAAUGCUUUUCUGUGUCUUAAUCCUGGUGUUAAUUCUUGAAGGGAAAUUUAACCAGGGCUCACUCAGAAUUGAUCCUCAGAGCCUGAGCGCCCCUCCCUGCGUUAAAUAUACUGACUUCUUUUAUGCAGAGAGGCUUGGCGAGCUCUUCCAUAUUUUAUGGCCCCUUCUGGAACAGCCUCAGUUACCAUUAACAUGGGUUGGGUACCUACUGUGUGCCCAACACCACACCUGGUGUUCCUUCCUAUUCUUUCUUUCCUACCCUGGAAUUCUCUAGAUGGAAAAUCAGCAAUUUUGAAUCACUCCCACCCUUACGGAAUUCUCCAGUGCAAAUGUAAAGAGAAUGUUGUUUUGUAGUAUUAAAAAUGUGGUUGUAAAUGAGUAAGAAGUUGAAAAUAAUAUUCAUCCACAGUGUCUUUGUUCCUCGGUAAUGGACGGGAAACCACAAACGUUUGGACAAUAGCUCCUUCUAACCGAGUUCCCUCCUUGUUGUAACUAGAACCUAGUUUGCAGAGCCCUUUUGGCAGCUCUGUAUCCGGGCAGCCUCCCCCAGUACUACACACAUCCGUUCUUGCAGCCUGGUGAGUUUGUAGAUGACGGGACUGAAACGCACUUCAGUAUUGGGAACCACGACUGUUACAUAAAGGCUGUUAGUAGCGGGAAGCGGAA